rnacentral:lncRNA from 1 species
UCGAGUCACAGCAUUCCAGCCUGGGCUACAAAGCAAGACUGCGUGUCAGAAAAAGAAAAGAAAAAUGGAUUCAAAGAUUUAUCACUGUUAAGUUCCACCAGCAAAUUAUUAAAUGUGGUUCCAAAGGGAUAUUUAAAAAGGGAAAUUAAAAUUGUUUCCAAGAAAGCCCUAUUCACAGCAGAAACGUAGACACUGUACCUGACCUCACCACACAAAGUUCCCUCAUGUGUUGGGAGGGACCAAGGGGCUCUCUGGUCCUGCACCUGCGUUAAUUAUGGCCGGGAGGUCCGCAGUAGGACCCUAAGGGCUAGGAACCAGCCUGGGUCAGGGGCAGAGAAGUGGUGGAUGUGGCUCCCAAAGUGGCUUAGGGGUUCCCUUCCCUGUGGCUGUUUCCUGACUGGAUGCAGCAGGGUCAGGCCUUUCAGUGUGACGUUUUCUACUCUUUAUUAGAGUGGCAGGAGCGUCCCUGUGCGAGGCCUGACCCAGGUGUGGGCCUUGCAGCCAGCUCGGGGUCCAAGGGGCACUCCUGCGGUGCUGCAAAGGAGGAUUUGUGACAACCCAGAGGAUGGAGGAAACGGCGGCUUUGAAAAGGCAAGUGCCAAGUUAUCAGGGAUCGCUUAUAUCCAUUUCUGGCAGUGAACUGACAAUUUCAGACACUCAGGAGGGAGCUUCCCGCGUGGGAUCACAAAAAGUCCGAGAAGUGUCAGACAUCUGGCCAUUAACCCCAUUCCUACGCAGGGACUACACUGCCGCUUGUCCGAAGGGGCGUGUCAGGGGCGGAGCGAGGAUGAGGGGCGGUGCCAAUAAAAGAGGCGGGGGAGAAGGGGCGGUGCUGAGGGGAGAGGCCGGGCCAAGGGAAGAAGCGUGCGAGAAAGGGUGGGGCGAGUCCAGCUACAGGAAGAGUAGCGUUACUAUGGCAACCCUGACAGGUUUGUGAGCAGCCCCCGGUCCCCUGCCGCUCCGUGAGAAAUCAAACUUCAGGCACUGACGAAGCAUGAAGCCAGCAUCUUAGGAAGAGGUAGUGACAUAAUUACAAGGGCGACCGGAUUACAAUCACAGCCAGCAUGAACAUGGGGCGGCGCACAGUCCUGAAGAGGAAAGCCGGGCUGUGUUGACCUCGCUGUGCAUGCUGGGAGUUGUAGUCUCUUCACUGCUCCCGCCCGUUGUUUCAGGCACUUCGGGACUACAAUCCCAGCAUGACCCGGGCUCGGGGACGGGGCGCAGUUCUCGUGGGAGGAGCGGGGCGGUGAGAGCCUGGCUAGGCAGGCUGGAAACAGUAGCUCUUAACGGUCCCCCGCCCGUUGGUGGCAAGGCGGCUGGACUGGAAUCCCAGCAGGCGACAUGCGAGGAGGCGGGCAGCCCAGGAGGGUUGGACACGGCAAUGUGGACCUCGCCGCUUCCACAACGAUGCUGGCUACUGAUCGCGUGCACUUCCUUGCCAAAGAAAAUUUGUGCUGUGCACUAACAUGCAAUACAAAUACUGAUGAAAAUAAAACUAUUGCCCUCCUACCAAAUGAGAAAUUAAUGUUAUGACUGGAUGAAGACAAUUGUGAAGAAACUGCACUUUGAGGUUGUCUAUCUCUGUAUUCUGAUGGAAAAGCGUGGAGUUUAGAAGCACUGCUCACUCCUUCAGUUUCUAACAAGUUUGAGACUAUGGUUAGGUGGUGAGGAAGGCAGGCUCAGCACCCAAGCCUUGGGGAGACGCAGAAAGGGCCCAUCCCAGGCACUCAGGUGGAGAAAUUCACUGGUAUAGGUUUCCCUCAAAACACUGCUUUCACCAGUUUCCGUAAGUUUUACGUUUUGGUUACAUUGUCAUUUAUGUUAAAACACUUUCUGAUAAGUAUUUGUGGUUUUCUUUUGAUCCAUAAAUUAUUUGGGAUUUUGCCAUUUAAUGUCCACAUACUUAAGAGUCUCCUAAAUUUCUUGCUUUCAUUGAUCUCUGAUUCUAUUAUGAUUAGAAAUCACCCAUUGUAUUAUCUCAAUCUCUAUUUUUACUGAUGUUUUAUGGCCCAGCAGGUGGUCUGUCCUAGAGAACGUUCCAUGUGGAUUUGAGAAGAAUAUAUAUUCUCAUGUUGGAUGCAGUGCUGUGCAUAUGUUUGUUAGGUUUAGUUGUUUUAUGUUGUUGUUCAUGUUUUCUAUUUUUUAUCUUCUGUCUACUUGUUCUAUCCAUUAAUAUAAGUGAAGCAUUAAAGUCUCCAACUAUUACUGUUGAAUUA